AGAGUUUGAUCCUGGCUCAGGAUGAACGCUAGCGGCAGGCUUAACACAUGCAAGUCGAGGGGUAAAUGGUAGCAAUACUAUGAGACCGGCAAACGGGUGCGGAACACGUACGCAAUCUACCCUUAUCUGGGGCAUAGCCCGAAGAAAUUCGGAUUAACACCCCAUAAUAUAAUUGGAUGGCAUCAUCUGAUUAUUAAAAA
rnacentral:rRNA from 1 species